GAUGAAGAACGUAGUGAAAUGCGAUAAGUAGUGUGAAUUGCAGAAUUCAGUGAAUCAUCGAAUCUUUGAACGCACAUUGCGCCCGCCAGCAUUCUGGCGGGCAUGCCUGUUCGAGCGUCAUUUCAACCCUCGACCUCCCUUUGGGGAAGUCGGCGUUGGGGACCGGCAGCACACCGCCGGCCCUGAAAUGGAGUGGCGGCCCGUCCGCGGCGACCUCUGCGUAGUAAACCAACUCGCACCGGAACCCCGACGUGGCCACGCCGUAAAACACCCAACUUCUGAACGUUGACCUCGAAUCAGGUAGGACUACCCGCUGAACUUAAGCAUAUCAAUAAGCGGAGGA
rnacentral:misc_RNA from 1 species